GCCAAAAUUUAGCCACAUUUGGCUGCAACGGAAGCUACCGAAAGGACCUAUUUAGCUAGAUGGCAAUGUGCCCACUUAAGUAUGUUUUGUGACAGUAAGAGAAAUUGGUUUUCUCUUAUAAAACAGUAAAGAAUAGAUUUGAUGAGGCAUUCAUCCUUUCUCACUUCCAAUAUCCGUUUACCUACUUCAAUCCUUUUCCAUUCUCCUCAGAUAUAUUCUAGGUCUCCAUCCUUCAUCCUAAAAGAAAAUGAAACGCCUUUUGAUUCUGGUCAUUUCCUUCACUGCAACAAAAACAAAACAAAACAAAACGAUCGCUCUCCUUUACAUUUCUUCUUUUCUGCUUAUUUCCGAUCACUAGUUACCAUCCCACCUUUAGAUCACACAGCUUCCUAACUAGUCUCCGAGUUUCUGAGACAUUUAACAAAUACAUCUUUACCUCAAAGAGUCUUUCAAUGUUAUUACUAUUUAACUGUACGAAUAAGGGCAGGAUGUUGAAAAAAAAAGGUAUUAUAAACAAUGCAAAUGAUUCCUUCGGUCACACCCAUGACUACAUUAAGACCUUUAGAACUGCCAAAUAAGAGGAUGGAUGAAGUUGGAAAGAAGAUGCAAUUUUCCAGUUUUGUGUGAAACUGGCACAGGGCCCUCGGUCACUGCGGGUUCCGCCGCCGCCACGAAGGUCACUCCCUGCAGAAGGCCGGUGGAUCAGUCCUCCACAGCAAACACCGCAGCGAACGCUAGAAGCCGUGGCCUUGAGAAUCUCUAGGUCCGUGGGCCGGAGACUGGCACGAGAGUCUCGCUAGUUCCGGAAUCCUCGCGGGAAAGGCUAGCAAGUCGCUUCUUUGACGCACUUCCGGGGCGCCGGAACCGAGGUGGCCGCGAGCCGGGAAGAUGGUGGUAACCAGGUCCGGACGGCCUCAGGCCACGAUCCAAGCCACGUUGGCUGAAGACUCCCAGCAGAAGAAUUCUGCUAAAAGAAUUCAGGCACAUCCAAAAAGCAGGAAAGAAUCUCCACCUGUUGACCCAACUACUGCUGAAUCACAAACCACGAGGAAACAAAGUCCAGUCCCUAGAACUCCUAAAAGCAGAAAGAGGAAGAGCGGAACUACAGUCUCAUUACCAGAGAUAAACAAGCCGUAUACUGAUGGAGAGACCUCUGAGGCAGAGUCAGAUUGUUCUUCUGUGUCUGAGCUCCAGGAUCCCAUCUUAAGAGUAACUAGGAGACGGCAGAUCUUGGUUGCAUGCACCCCGGUGUCUAGUGUUAGGAAAAGGCUGAAAAUAACUCCAAUAAAUCAGUCUCAUGCUGAAGAAGACGAUGACUCUGAAGCUGAAUCACAUGUCUCAGGUAUUUCUAGAAUUGUGCCGCCCACAUUAAUAACUACAAGAACUAGAAGAAGUAAGGCUAAAUCCCUAAGUGAGCCAAACCAAGAAUUAUAUGCAGAAAUUAUUUCUGAUGCUGAAUCAUCAUACUCAGACAUUUCUUCAUUUUCUGAAGUUACAACUAUGAGAACAACAAGAAGUAUGCAGAAGAAAUUACAGUCACAAACUGAGGAGAAAUAUACUAACAUUGUACCAGAAACUGAAAAGCAGAUUAUAAAUUUGCCAACGAAUUCAGAGGAUUCAGAUACCAGACAAACAGCUUGUUUACUUGCAAGAUCUCUUUCUCAGAUAAAUAAGCCAAAUUUCUAUAGUAAUGAAACUUAUAAAGACUUUGAUGAUUCCUUCCACAGAAAUUCAGGGGGAAAAAAAGCAGUGCAAAAACAUCAACAUUCUAAUCUAAGAGAGGAAAAACAGGCCAGUGUUGUACCUCUCAAAGAAGUAACAAAACAGAAUUGUAAGAAUUUAGAUGAAGAAUCCAAAGGAAUGGUAGAAGAGGAGAAAGAAAGAAAUGAGAAAAAUUCUCAGUUGGAGAGCCUUUCUGAACCUCAGGACACUGACAUUCAGCAGUUAGUUUCUCAGAGGCAGUCAACCCCCCAAAAUAACAAAACUACAUCAGAGUCCUCACAUCUGAACUGUGAGGCUAUAAUGAAAUCGUUAGCUCAGACAUUUGCAGUGGUAGAAGUGGACAGAUGGAAUGAAGAGAGAAAGAACACCAUAAAAACAAGUGACCUGACAGAAUUUGGUGGUGGUAGUGAUGAAGAAGAAGAGUGCACGGUUAAAGGUAUCCGUGAAGACAUGAAUGACGAAAGGGAUAUAGAUUUUGAGAGCGAAACCAAACUGUUCAAUUCUGAGCUCAACACAUCUCUGGAUAAAGGUGAUUCUGUUUUAUUAGUGCUCAGCAGUGAUGAGAGCCAGCAGUCUGAAAACAGUGAGAACGAAGAGGACACUGUGUGUUUUGUUGAAAAUAAUGGUCAAAAGGAGUCAUUAAAUGGAGACUCAGAAAAUAUGUCUUGUGACAACCCAUUGUUUGUAAUCGACACAACUCCCGGACUGAGUACUGAUAAACAUUUUUACCUGGAUGAGGGAGACAAGGCAAGUGAGGUUGCCACUGAGGAAGAAGAGGGGGAAGAAGAUGAAAAAAGUGAAGAACCAUCAGACCUUGACAGAAAUAAAGAUGAUGACUUUAGUGAUGAAGACGACUUAUUAAAUAGCACAAAGUCUAAACUGCACAGGUCCCUGGUGGCAGUGUAUCCACUGGAAAUACAGACAUCCUUGGGGGAGAGGUCAUUGGCAAUAAAGGAGAGAAAGAAAAAGUCUGAAGUUGACAAGCAGCAGCAUAGACCCUGGUAUGAGUAUCAAGCAGUUGGGUGGUUUGUAUAUUAAUUUCAAUGCAGACAAACUACAGUCAAACAAGAGAACCCUAACACAGAUCAAGGAGAAAAAGAAAGACACGCUUUUGCAGAAAACCAUCAUUACUCCUGAUUUUGAAAAAAACUACUGUGUCCCACCGUAUAGUGAAUCAAAGUAUCAACUUCAGAAAAAACGCAGA